AAUGCAUGCUAGUGGUUUCUGCAAAGAGUGCGUUUUUACCCACGGACGUGCGUGGUCCAUACCGUCUGUGGAGUGGGUGCGUUGGUGUGUCUGCAGGGGCCACUGUGUCGAAGGCAGGGAGUGUGUACUGUGGAGAGGAAUCAUCCUUUGAAAGAAUUGAAAAAGACACAAAAACCGCUGCUUCAGGCUCCAGGUCUACAAUCUGUCCACCUGCUCCACCCCAAAGAACUGGCAGAAGCUCCUGCUAACCUGAGUCUGCUGCCGAGAGAUCAGUAGAAGAACAUCCCAUUGUCCUGGAAGGCAGGGGCCAGAACUUGAACAUGGUCUCUCAAGAAACAAGUCACCAAAUUCAAUUCUCACUGGGGGAGAAGAAGAUGACACAAGAAUACCAUGGGAGGGGAAUCACCUGGGAGAACAGAGGUGCGGUCGCUUACCACCAGCAAGCUGUGAUUUGCAGGUCACCCAACUAGGGAGUUUCCAGAAGUGUGGAGCUGGCAAGGCAUGACCCGAUCAAGGUGCAUCACUUGGGUGGCAGAACCUGACUAUAGAUGUUCCUUGAUUUCUCUACGACUUGAGUGGAGAAUAA